rnacentral:rRNA from 1 species
UACGGAGGAUGCAAGCGUUAUUCGGAAUUAUUGGGCGUAAAGGGCGCGUAGGCGGUUGAAUAAGUCAGAUGUGAAAGCCCUUGGCUUAACCAAGGAAGUGCAUUUGAUACUAUUUGACUUGAGUAUGGGAGAGGGAAGUGGAAUUCCUGGUGUAGAGGUGAAAUUCGUAGAUAUCAGGAGGAACACCAGUGGCGAAGGCGGCUGCCUGGAACAAUACUGACGCUGAGGGACGAAAGCUAGGGGAGCAAACCGG